UACGUAGGUCUCAAGCGUUAUCCGGUCUUAUUGGGUGUAAAGCGUGUGUAGGUGGAUUAGUAAGUCUUACUUUAAAGACCAGGGCUCAACCCUGGGAAAGGGCGAGAUACUACUAGUCUGGAGGAAGUUAGGGGGUAGUGGAACAAGUGGAGUAGCGGUGAAAUGCUUUGAUACCACUUGGAACACCAAAGGCGAAGGCAACUACCUGGGACUUUCCUGACACUGAGACACGAAAGCGUGGGGAG
rnacentral:rRNA from 1 species